rnacentral:rRNA from 1 species
GAUGAACGCUGGCGGCGUGCCUAAUACAUGCAAGUCGAGCGAACAGAUAAGGAGCUUGCUCCUUUGACGUUAGCGGCGGACGGGUGAGUAACACGUGGGUAACCUACCUAUAAGACUGGGAUAACUUCGGGAAACCGGAGCUAAUACCGGAUAACAUUUGGAACCGCAUGGUUCUAAAGUGAAAGAUGGUUUUGCUAUCACUUAUAGAUGGACCCGCGCCGUAUUAGCUAGUUGGUAAGGUAACGGCUUACCAAGGCGACGAUACGUAGCCGACCUGAGAGGGUGAUCGGCCACACUGGAACUGAGACACAGUCCAGACUCCUACGGGAGGCAGCAGUAGGGAAUCUUCCGCAAUGGGCGAAAGCCUGACGGAGCAACGCCGCGUGAGUGAUGAAGGGUUUCGGCUCGUAAAACUCUGUUAUUAGGGAAGAACAAACGUGUAAGUAACUGUGCACGUCUUGACGGUACCUAAUCAGAAAGCCACGGCUAACUACGUG